rnacentral:rRNA from 1 species
UGGGGAAUAUUGCACAAUGGGGGAAACCCUGAUGCAGCGACGCCGCGUGAGCGAAGAAGGCUUUCGAGUCGUAAAGCUCUGUCCUAUGAGAAGAUAAUGACGGUAUCAUAGGAGGAAGCCCUGGCUAAAUACGUGCCAGCAGCCGCGGUAAUACGUAGGGGGCUAGCGUUAUCCGGAUUUACUGGGCGUAAAGGGUGCGUAGGUGGUCUUUCAAGUCGGUGGUUAAAGGCUACGGCUCAACCGUAGUUAGCCUCCGAAACUGGAAGACUUGAGUGCAGGAGAGGAAAGUGGAAUUCCCAGGGUAGCGGUGAAAUGCGUAGAUAUUGGGAGGAACACCAGUAGCGAAGGCGGCUUUCUGGACUGCAACUGACACUGAGGCACGAAAGCGUGGGUAGCAAACAGG